rnacentral:rRNA from 1 species
AGAGUUUGAUCCUGGCUCAGAUUGAACGCCGGCGGCGCGCCUAACACAUGCAAGUCGAGCGAUGAAGACUCCUUCGGGAGUGUAUGAAGCGGCGGACGGGUGAGUAAUGCGUAGGCAACCUGCCUCAAAGUGGGGGACAACCUGUCGAAAGAUGGGCUAAUACCGCGUAAGCUGUGAGUGUAAUAACUUUCAGUAAAGGCUUCGGCCGCUUUGGGAUGGGCCUACGUCCGAUUAGAUAGUUGGUGGGGUAAUGGCCUACCAAGUCUGCGAUCGGUAACUGGUCUGAGAGGAUGAUCAGUCACACUGGAACUGAGACACGGUCCAGACUCCUACGGGAGGCAGCAGUGAGGAAUUUUGCGCAAUGGGGGAAACCCUGACGCAGCGACGCCGCGUGGAGGAUGACGUCCUUCGGGAUGUAAACUCCUGUCAGUGGGAACGAUAAUGACGGUACCCACAGAGGAAGCACCGGCUAACUCCGUGCCAGCAGCCGCGGUAAGACGGAGGGUGCAAGCGUUGUUCGGAAUUACUGGGCGUAAAGCGUACGUAGGCGGCAAGUUAAGUCCAAUGUUAAAGCCCACGGCUCAACCGAGGAGAUGCAUUGGAUACUGGCUAGCUAGAGGGUGUUAGAGGAAGACGGAAUUCCCAGUGUAGCGGUGAAAUGCGUAGAUAUUGGGAGGAACAUCGGUAGCGAAAGCGGUCUUCUGGGACACACCUGACGCUGAGGUACGAAAGCGUGGGGAGCAAACGGGAUUAGAUACCCCGGUAGUCCACGCCGUAAACGAUGGAUACUAGGUGUAGCGGGUAUCGACCCCUGCUGUGCCGAAGCUAACGCGUUAAGUAUCCCGCCUGGGGAGUACGCUCGCAAGAGUGAAACUCAAAGGAAUUGACGGGGGCCCGCACAAGCGGUGGAGGAUGUGGUUUAAUUCGACGCAACGCGAAGAACCUUACCAGGACUUGACAUGUAGUGAAUCCUGCCGAAAGGUGGGAGUGCCUUCGGGAGCACUAACACAGGUGGUGCAUGGCUGUCG